rnacentral:rRNA from 1 species
GAUGAACGCUGGCGGCGUGCCUAAUACAUGCAAGUCGAGCGAACGGACGAGAAGCUUGCUUCUCUGAUGUUAGCGGCGGACGGGUGAGUAACACGUGGAUAACCUACCUAUAAGACUGGGAUAACUUCGGGAAACCGGAGCUAAUACCGGAUAAUAUUUUGAACCGCAUGGUUCAAAAGUGAAAGACGGUCUUGCUGUCACUUAUAGAUGGAUCCGCGCUGCAUUAGCUAGUUGGUAAGGUAACGGCUUACCAAGGCAACGAUGCAUAGCCGACCUGAGAGGGUGAUCGGCCACACUGGAACUGAGACACGGUCCAGACUCCUACGGGUGGCAGCAGUAGGGAAUCUUCCGCGAUGGGCGAAAGCCUGACGGAGCAACGCCGCGUGAGUGAUGAAGGUCUUCGGAUCGUAAAACUCUGUUAUUAGGGAAGAACAUAUGUGUAAGUAACUGUGCACAUCUUGACGGUACCUAAUCAGAAAGCCACGGCUAACUACGUG